rnacentral:sRNA from 1 species
AUUUUUUUCUGCUAUUGUUGUAAU